CGUACACUCCUGCGGGAGGCAGCAGUGGGGAAUAUUGGACAAUGGGCGCAAGCCUGAUCCAGCCAUGCCGCGUGAGUGAUGAAGGCCCUAGGGUUGUAAAGCUCUUUCACCGGUGAAGAUAAUGACGGUAACCGGAGAAGAAGCCCCGGCUAACUUCGUGCCAGCAGCCGCGGUAAUACGAAGGGGGCUAGCGUUGUUCGGAUUUACUGGGCGUAAAGCGCACGUAGGCGGACUAUUAAGUCAGGGGUGAAAUCCCGGGGCUCAACCCCGGAACGGCCUUUGAUACUGGUAGUCUUGAGUUCGAGAGAGGUGAGUGGAAUUCCGAGUGUAGAGGUGAAAUUCGUAGAUAUUCGGAGGAACACCAGUGGCGAAGGCGGCUCACUGGCUCGAUACUGACGCUGAGGUGCGAAAGCGUGGGGAGCAAACAGGAUUAGAAACCCCAGUAGUCCCA
rnacentral:rRNA from 1 species